UAGUAGUUCUGAGCGGACCAAACUAGAGAGACCAAAAUCACAAAAACCCUUUCUAGGGCUCUCCCUCACUCUUCACUCCAGUGAAGACGCAGCCCUCAAUUUCAUCCUCUCUUCCACACAAAUUCAACUCCAAAAACUAAAUUCUCCACUAUAUUUCUCUCGAUCGAAUAAGAUUUGAUUCCAAAUGUUCGGCGACGGCUGAAUAUUUCCGAGGAUUCCUCUUCUCAUACUGGUCCGUUUCUAUUGAGAUUUCGGUGUUUUACUACUUGGUUGUUGACUUGUUGGUGAAGAUGGCAACAACAACAACUCAGCUGCCAUGCUUGUCACCUGGGCAAAGGGUUAUGUUGGAUAGUCGAAUGGGUGGAAUUAGUUUGAACAAGAUGAUGUUUAAUAAUAAUGUGAUGGUUGGUUCGAAGAGUAUAAGUUUGAGUUCACAGCGAUUUAGAUGUUCAUCACUUAAUAAUAAUUCGCGUAGUAAUGGGAUUAACCCUUUCUUGAAUUUACAUCCUGAAGUGUCUAUGUUGAGAGGUAAUGAAAGAAUUGACACGGUUAUUAAUCCGAAAAAUGAUGGGUCGAUUGGGAAAAUUACUGAGAGUUUGAUUGAUUCGUCUAUCCCGGAGGAGAAUUACAGUACAGCUAAGAUUAAAGUUAUUGGUGUUGGUGGUGGUGGGUCGAAUGCUGUUAAUAGAAUGAUUGAGAGUAAUAUGAAAGGGAUUGAGUUUUGGAUUGUUAACACGGAUAUUCAAGCUAUGAGAAUGUCGCCUGUGUUUCCGGAUAACCGGUUGCAAAUUGGUCAGGAGCUGACUAGGGGUCUUGGUGCUGGUGGUAACCCUGAUAUUGGUAUGAAUGCUGCUAAAGAGAGUAGAGAAGCUAUUGAAGAGGCACUUUAUGGUUCUGACAUGGUAUUUGUAACGGCUGGAAUGGGUGGAGGAACUGGCACUGGUGGGGCCCCAAUACUUGCAGGGAUUGCUAAAUCAAUGGGCAUUUUGACCGUUGGUAUUGUUACAACACCGUUCUCCUUUGAAGGGCGAAGACGAGCGGUUCAAGCACAGGAAGGAACUGCUGCUUUGAGAGACAAUGUUGACACUCUGAUUGUCAUUCCAAAUGACAAAUUGUUGACUGCUGUCACCCAGAAUACCCCUGUAACAGAAGCAUUUAAUUUGGCUGAUGAUAUACUUCGUCAAGGUGUUCGUGGUAUCUCUGACAUAAUUACGAUUCCAGGCCUUGUAAAUGUUGAUUUUGCUGAUGUGCGAGCCAUUAUGGCUAAUGCAGGCUCGUCUUUGAUGGGGAUAGGAACUGCAACAGGCAAGACCAGGGCAAGAGAUGCUGCAUUAAAUGCCAUCCAAUCACCCUUACUAGACAUUGGCAUAGAAAGGGCUACUGGAAUCGUGUGGAACAUCACUGGUGGAAGUGAUUUAACUUUAUAUGAGGUAAAUGCUGCAGCAGAGGUAAUAUAUGACCUUGUUGAUCCAAGUGCAAAUUUGAUAUUUGGAGCAGUUAUAGAUCCAUCACUCAGUGGUCAAGUAAGUAUAACUCUGAUUGCCACUGGAUUCAAACGGCAAGAAGAAGCUGAAGGAAGGCCUCCUGUUCAGGGUAAAUUGCAGGGAACUCAGUUACCAAAUGGGGACAUCAACCUUGGCGGAAUGAAUCGACGACCUUCCUCUUUCAACGAAGGCAGCUCAGUGGAGAUCCCUGAAUUCCUGAAGAAAAAAGGCCGACGCUUUCCCAGAGCUUGACAAAUUCUUUUGUAAUAUAUUACACCCUUUUUUACAUUGUUUUUCAGUUUAGCAGGACUAUAUCUACAUUUCCACUAGUUGUUUUUUCAUGUCUAGCCUAGACCCCACUCUCUGUUGCUUUUACUAGUUUUGAAGUGAUAAAUAAGUAAAGUCAUGUUGAAUUGCAGUCAUACAUUCAUCUGUUUUUUUGCCUGGCUGCUAAUGCGUGGUGCCAAUUUGCAGCUAUUCUCUGUUUUUUUCUAUACCUGAUAUUUUUGAAAUUUGAAACUGAUGUUUGCAACUUGGUUCUCAGAAUCUGGACUUUAGUACUAGAUCUAGGGGUUGCUCUUAGUUCUGUGGGGGGUACUUUGUGGAGAAUGAUAACAGGGUGUUAUAAUGAUUGAUGUGGAAAAGAGUGGUUUGAAAUGCCCUUUUCAUAGAAUGACUAGUGAACCACACAAAAGAUGAAUAGACACGUACAAAUAUCAGAAGCCACAUACAAUUGGAGAAGCAGAAUAAUGACGUGUAAACUAACAUCCCACCAGUUCAGUCUCUCUCUACUUAUAUACUCUCCCCACACCCAUCUUAAAGUUCAGUUCAGAAUCCUUUUUCUCCACAAUCUUCAAGCUUAGGUGUCGCCAGAUAUGGUUAGUCCUAAGCGUAAUUUCUCCGAUCACCUGCAGAAGGUCUCGCCGAUUCCUUCAGAAUCAGUGAAACCUCAUCUGUCUAGCAACAGUUGGGUGGUUGAAAUCAAAGAAGCCCCACCAGCUUUGAUUCCUAUUGGAAUUGUUAAAGAACCAGCAGCCAAAUUUGAUGCAUUGGUUGAUGAAGAUUCCGGCCGCGAGAAACUAAAGAGACAUAGAGUUGAAGUAGCUGGAAGAGUUUGGAUUCCGGAUAGUUGGGGACAGGAAAAGCUUAUGAAGGAUUGGAUUGAUUGUUCUGCUUUCAAUGCUUCAUUAGUUCCGGCAGGACUAUUGUCGGCUCGACAAGCGUUGAUUGAAGAUAGACGGCGCGCAAACUCUAUUGGAUUAAGGGUAUAAACGAACAGAUGAAGGAGACUACGGUCGGUGAAGCUGUGGUUUCUAGCCCUUCGAGGAGCUGAAAAUUGAUUCGGGAUGAAAAGAAAAAGCGCUAGAGGUUACGAGGUGACUAUGGUAUGCUUAUGGGUAUUGAUCAAAAUAACAAAUUUUUCUUUGUAAUAUUAAAGACAAAAAUUCUUGAGACAGUGUAUAUAUAUCAGCUUAGCAAACGACUCUGUAAGAAUCUUGGUUUUCUUAUGCUGAUGAGUUUUAUUUUGUGAUGAUCUUGUUUCAACUUAACCAACUAAAUUUGGAUUUCUACUGCGAA